rnacentral:misc_RNA from 1 species
CGCCAAGGAAAAUAUUGUACACAAAACAACCGGAUUAAAUUGAUCCUACUUAUUCUCCUUAAAACCAAGCUGAUAAUUCAACACCAAAAUUGCACCUUACAAGUUAAUUUGAAGAAAAUUCUUGCUUAUAACAAGUCUUUAUUAUCACAUAUGGACCAAACCAAUGAUCUUGUUGGAUUUUGAAUUUUACUUCCCACUUUUGUUUUAUUCUAAUACAGCCUUUUGAAUUUGAUUCAAAAUGCUGCAAUAUCAUUGGCUCAAUUUAUUACUCUCUGUAGGCACGAAAAUCCUAAUUUGAUUAGCAUUUGCAUAAUGAUCUGUGAAUGACCUCUAAUAUUUUAUUUUAUCUUAACAUCCAGUUCAAACGAAG